ACCCAUUUUCCUGUUUUUCUUAGUUUGCAUUUUUGUGACUAUGCAAUUUCUGCAUAAUCACAAAAAUGCAAACUAAGAAAAACAGGAAAAAUGGGU
rnacentral:pre_miRNA from 14 species